rfam:Myotis davidii contig29404, whole genome shotgun sequence.
GGUGGUUCUCAGGUGACGCACCCCAGAAUCAGGCUCCCUCCUCUCUGGUUCCGGUGCAUCACCCGAGAGAACUGCA